GAUGAACGCUGGCGGCGUGCCUAAUACAUGCAAGUCGAGCGAACAGACGAGGAGCUUGCUCCUCUGACGUUAGCGGCGGACGGGUGAGUAACACGUGGAUAACCUACCUAUAAGACUGGGAUAACUUCGGGAAACCGGAGCUAAUACCGGAUAAUAUAUUGAACCGCAUGGUUCAAUAGUGAAAGACGGUUUUGCUGUCACUUAUAGAUGGAUCCGCGCCGCAUUAGCUAGUUGGUAAGGUAACGGCUUACCAAGGCAACGAUGCGUAGCCGACCUGAGAGGGUGAUCGGCCACACUGGAACUGAGACACGGUCCAGACUCCUACGGGAGGCAGCAGUAGGGAAUCUUCCGCAAUGGGCGAAAGCUUGACGGAGCAACGCCGCGUGAGUGAUGAAGGUCUUCGGAUCGUAAAACUCUGUUAUUAGGGAAGAACAAAUGUGUAAGUAACUAUGCACGUCUUGACGGUACCUAAUCAGAAAGCCACGGCAAACUACGUG
rnacentral:rRNA from 1 species